UGGCUCAGGAUNAACGCUGGCGGCGUGCCUAAUACAUGCAAGUNGAGCGAACUNAUUAGAAGCUUGCUUCUAUGACGUNAGCGGCGGACGGGUGAGUNACACGUGGGCAACCUGCCUGUAAGACUGGGAUAACUUCGGGAAACCGAAGCUAAUACCGGAUAGGAUCUUCUCCUUCAUGGGAGAUGAUUGAAAGAUGGUUUCGGCUAUCACUUACAGAUGGGCCCGCGGUGCAUUAGCUNGUUGGUGAGGUAACGGCUCACCAAGGCAACGAUGCAUAGCCGACCUGAGAGGGUNAUNGGCCACACUGGGACUGAGACACGGCCCAGACUCCUACGGGAGGCAGCAGUAGGGAAUCUUCCGCAAUGGACGAAAGUCUGACGGAGCAACGCCGCGUGAGUGAUGAAGGCUNUCGGGUCGUAAAACUCUGUUGUUAGGGAAGAACAAGUACNAGAGUAACUNCUNGUNCCUUGACGGUACCUAACCAGAAAGCCACGGCUAACUACGUGCCAGCAGCCGCGGUNAUACGUAGGUGGCAAGCGUNAUCCGGAAUUAUUGGGCGUNAAGCGCGCGCAGGCGGUUUCUUAAGUCUNAUGUGAAAGCCCACGGCUNAACCGUNGAGGGUCAUUGGAAACUGGGGAACUNGAGUGCAGAAGAGAAAAGCGGAAUUCCACGUGUAGCGGUNAAAUGCGUAGAGAUGUGGAGGAACACCAGUGGCGAAGGCGNCUNUNUNGUCUGUA
rnacentral:rRNA from 1 species